rnacentral:rRNA from 1 species
AUUAAACGCUGGCGGCAUGCCUUACACAUGCAAGUCGAACGGCAGCACGGGGGCAACCCUGGUGGCGAGUGGCGAACGGGUGAGUAAAGCAUCGGAACGUGCCCUGGAGUGGGGGGAUAACGUAGCGAAAGUUACGCUAAUACCGCAUAUUCUGUGAGCAGGAAAGCAGGGGAUCGCAAGACCUUGCGCUCUGGGAGCGGCCGAUGUCGGAUUAGCUAGUUGGUGGGUAAAGGCCUACCAAGGCGACGAUCCGUAGCGGGUCUGAGAGGAUGAUCCGCCACACUGGGACUGAGACACGGCCCAGACUCCUACGGGAGGCAGCAGUGGGGAAUUUUGGACAAUGGGCGAAAGCCUGAUCCAGCCAUGCCGCGUGAGUGAAGAAGGCCU